rnacentral:rRNA from 1 species
CUGCCCAAGAGACUGGGAUAACACCUGGAAACAGAUGCUAAUACCGGAUAACAACACUAGACGCAUGUCUAGAGUUUAAAAGAUGGUUCUGCUAUCACUCUUGGAUGGACCUGCGGUGCAUUAGCUAGUUGGUAAGGUAACGGCUUACCAAGGCAAUGAUGCAUAGCCGAGUUGAGAGACUGAUCGGCCACAUUGGGACUGAGACACGGCCCAAACUCCUACGGGAGGCAGCAGUAGGGAAUCUUCCACAAUGGACGCAAGUCUGAUGGAGCAACGCCGCGUGAGUGAAGAAGGGUUUCGGCUCGUAAAGCUCUGUUGGUAGUGAAGAAAGAUAGAGGUAGUAACUGGCCUUUAUUUGACGGUAAUUACCUAGAAAGUCACGGCUAACUACGUGCCAGCAGCCGCGGUAAUACGUAGGUGGCAAGCGUUGUCCGGAUUUAUUGGGCGUAAAGCGAGUGCAGGCGGUUCAAUAAGUCUGAUGUGAAAGCCUUCGGCUCAACCGGAGAAUUGCAUCAGAAACUGUUGAACUUGAGUGCAGAAGAGGAGAGUGGAACUCCAUGUGUAGCGGUGGAAUGCGUAGAUAUAUGGAAGAACACCAGUGGCGAAGGCGGCUCUCUGGUCUGCAACUGACGCUGAGGCUCGAAAGCAUGGGUAGCGAACAGGAUUAGAUACCCUGGUAGUCCAUGCCGUAAAC